rnacentral:rRNA from 1 species
UACGGAGGGAGCUAGCGUUGUUCGGAAUUACUGGGCGUAAAGCGCGCGUAGGCGGCUUUGUAAGUUAGAGGUGAAAGCCCGGGGCUCAACCCCGGAACUGCCUUUAAGACUGCAUCGCUUGAAUCCGGGAGAGGUGAGUGGAAUUCCGAGUGUAGAGGUGAAAUUCGUAGAUAUUCGGAAGAACACCAGUGGCGAAGGCGGCUCACUGGACCGGCAUUGACGCGUGAG